GACGGCCGCCAUGUAAAGCUGGAAGCUGACGAUGAGAUACAAUGAGGCCCCGUUUGGACAUGGUUUGAAACUAUAGACUUAGAAAAUCAGAUAAAGAACGUGGGAAUUGAAAUUUUCUUGUUCAGUUGUGAUAUGGUGGUUUACGCCCAUGAACAGUGAUCGUAAACUGAAACCAAGAAUUUCUGAACAUUCUGGAAUUUGACAUUUUGAGGUCAUAUGGUUAAAUACAGACCAUAUAUCACUUUACGGCCCGUAUUUAAAAACGUGUUUGGAAUUUGGGAAAACUUCGUUGAUGAAAGUUGUAGAGCAUUGAAAUACCUUUCCAACGGUAUCUUACGGGGGUCAAACGGACAUCUGUGCAAAGAGUUAUGACCAUUUUACUGAAGAGACGCAGUGGAGUCCGUAUUGCAAAAUACGGCCUGUAUUGCAGUUUACGACCCGUAAACUGAAAAUACGACCAGCACUGUUCAGGUCGUAAAUUGCAAUUUCACAGGACAGUAUAUAUUCAUCCAUACCAGUUCAACUUAUUAUUUUUCAUUCCUUCAAACCAUAGAACGACUUCCUACUCUGCUCCAACAUCAAGAAUACCAAGGUAAGUCCAUUCUAAUUAUUCCAACUCAAUUCUAACAUAUAUCCUUGUAAUCUAAACAAGAAAUCAUCAUUCCUAAUCUAGGGUUUUUAAGAAAACCCAUCUCAAGAUUCAAGAAUCAAGAUUUAGGAAAUCUUCUCCAAAAUUUAAGUCUUUAAUUCAAGUUUUGGAGCAAUUAAGGUAUGUAGAACUUCCAUCCACAUGAGGGAAUCUCUAUGUUCUUCCCCAUGCUUCGUUUCCUUGAUAUCCAUGAAGUUCAAAUCUUAGAGCAUUAAACCCAACAUAUUGGUAGCUCGUAUUUAAGUAUUUAUGUACAUGAAUUUUGUAUCUAUAUUUGUUGUUGUAUUCCUAAUCUUCCAUUACGGUUAUUAGGAACCCUAGCUUAAUCCAUGAAUCAUGAAUUCUUCCUCAUGUGUUCUCAUUAUGUUCAUAUGAAACUUUAUGAUUUUAUUUUGCAAGUUACAAUCAUGUUUUCAAGUCAAUUACAUAUAUAUGAUUAUGAACUAUUGUUAUUACUCGUGAAUCAAGAAUAUGUUUACAAGCUAUUUCAUGAAACCAUGUUUACAAGUUAUUUUGUGAAAUCAUUAUUACAAGACAAGUACAAGUUAAUUCACGAAAAUCAUGGGCUUCUUAGCCAACUAUAUUAUGUUAAUGUUUUUGGGAGUUGCACAAAUUACCGAGAAGACUCAGAUAGCUUGAAACUACAUAGCCACCGUAGGACAAGGAUCGCUCCGCCCAGAUAAGACGAUACAUUAAUUUUACACUGAAUGGAUCCAUCAGGCACGUUACCACCUUAUACUCUGGCAAGGUAUGAGGGCUCUGCUGGUCCGGCGAGGUACCAGACUUCACGUAACCACGUGGUGAUUUACCACCUUAUACUGUGGCAAGGUAUGAGGGCUCUGCUGGUCCGGUGAGGUACCAGACUCCACGUACCCACGUGGUGAUAUCACAUGUCGGUUUAUGAAAUGCUCUCCCUACUUAUCAUGUUUUUACUUAUGUUAUAUAUAUACAUAUGCACUCAUGCUCAUGUUCAUGUCCAGGUUUUCAGUUUCAGUUCCUAUCAUGUUAUUCCAUGUCCCAUGUUGUUUCUUUCGGUUGCUUUACAUACCAGUACAUUCAAUGUGCUGACGUCCCCUUUUAUUGCCCGGGGGCCUGUAUUUCACGAUGCAGGUACUGAUAUACAGGACGACACAUCCGCUCAGUAGGACAACAUUCGUAUUAGCUUAUUGGGACAUCAUGGAAGAACACUGCAAAGAAUUCAAGACAGAAGAUGACGAAUCCUAGGUAGCAUUUGAUACUCUACUUGGGUAUUACAUGAUUUAUAUCCCGUGAAAUUAAAUUUUGUAUAAGUUACUCUUGCUAUUGUAAUUUCAAGUUCCAAUAUUUGAUGACUGUAAUAAAGAAGAAAAAUAGGGUACUGUUCUAUGUUCUACUAUAUUAUGAUGAUUAUUAUCUUAUUUUCAUCCAGUGAAAUAUUUCACGAGUUACUCUUGCUAUUGUAAUUUGGAGUUCCGCUGUAACAAAAAUAGGACGUUCUUUGUUUUAUUAUAUAUGAUGGUGUUUGACUUGAUA